GACGAACGCUGGCGGCGUGCCUAACACAUGCAAGUUGAGCGAAGAACCAGGGCUUGCCCUGCGCCAAAGCAGCGAACGGGUGAGUAACUCGUGGGUAACCUACCCCGCUAACCGGGACAACCCGCGGAAACUCGGGCUAGUUCCGGAUGUACUCACUAUACUUCCGCUCAGUGCGUAAGGGAAGCUCCGGCCUCCGUAUCGGGAGAGGCGCGCGGCCCAUUAGUUUGUUGGUGAGGGAACGGCCCACCAAGCCCGCGAUGGGUGGCUGGUCUGAGAGGGCGGACAGCCACACUGGGACUGAGACACGGCCCAGACUGCUACGGGAGGCAGCCGUGGGGCAUCGUGCGCCAUGGGCGAAAGCGUGGCGGAGCAACGCCGCGUGGGGGGAGAAGGCGUUCGGGUUGUAAACCCCUUUUAGGAGGGAAGAAGGUUCGGCGGUGAAUAGCCGGCCCGACUGACGGUACCUCCACAAGAAGGCCCGGCUAAAUACGUG
rnacentral:rRNA from 1 species